AAAAGCACUCAAUAAACUGAUAUUGAAAGAACAUGCCUCAGAAUAAUAAGAGCCAUCUGUGGCAAACCCACAGCUAACAUCAUUCUGAAUGGGCAAAAGCUGAAAACGUUCCCUUUGAAAUCAGCCCAAGACAUGGAUGCCCUCUCUCACCACUCCUAUUUAACGUAAUAUUGGAAGUCUUGGCCAAGACAAUCAGGCAAGAGAAUGAUAAAGCACAUCCAAAUAGAAAGAGAGGAA